rnacentral:rRNA from 1 species
ACUCAAAUGAAUUGACGGGGGCCCGCACAAGCGGUGGAACAUGUGGUUUAAUUCGAUGCAACGCGAAGAACCUUACCUGGGCUUGACAUCCUCGGAACUCUCUAGAAAUAGAGGGGUGCCUUCGGGAACCGAGAGACAGGUGGUGCACGGUUGUCGUCAGCUCGUGUCGUGAGAUGUUGGGUUAAGUCCCGCAACGAGCGCAACCCUCGUUGUCUGUUGCUACAGGCUGCAAAGUGCUGAGCACUCAGGCGAGACUGCCGGUGACAAACCGGAGGAAGGUGGGGAUGACGUCAAAUCAUCAUGCCCCUUAUGUCCAGGGCUACACACGUGUUACAAUGGGAUAGGACAACGGGCAGCUUGCUAGCAAUAGUCGGCUAAUCCCUUAAACCUACCCUCAGUUCGGAUUGGAGUCUGCAACUCGACUCCAUGAAGUCGGAAUCGCUAGUAACCGCGGAUCAGCCAUGCCGCGGUGAAUACGUUCCCGGGCCUUGUACACACCGCCCGU